UUAGUACUCCCUCCAUCCAGAAAUACUUGUCGGAGAAAUGAAUGUAUCUAGAUGUAUUUUAAUUCUAGAUACAUUCAUUUUCAUUCAUUUAUGCGACAAGUAAUUCCGAACGGAGGGAGUACUUA
rnacentral:pre_miRNA from 1 species